rnacentral:rRNA from 1 species
UGACCGCUGGCGGCAGGCCUAACACAUGCAAGUCGAGCGGAUGAAGGGAGCUUGCUCCUGGCUUCAGCGGCGGACGGGUGAGUAAUGCCUAGGAAUCUGCCUGGUAGUGGGGGAUAACGUCCGGAAACGGGCGCUAAUACCGCAUACGUCCUGAGGGAGAAAGUGGGGGAUCUUCGGACCUCACGCUAUCAGAUGAGCCUAGGUCGGAUUAGCUAGUUGGUGGGGUAAAGGCCUACCAAGGCGACGAUCCGUAACUGGUCUGAGAGGAUGAUCAGUCACACUGGAACUGAGACACGGUCCAGACUCCUACGGGAGGCAGCAGUGGGGAAUAUUGGACAAUGGGCGAAAGCCUGAUCCAGCCAUGCCGCGUGUGUGAAGAAGGUCUUCGGAUUGUAAAGCACUUUAAGUUGGGAGGAAGGGCAGUAAGUUAAUACCUUGCUGUUUUGACGUUACCAACAGAAUAAGCACCGGCUAACUUCGUG